AUCAAAAUUCAUCAAUUAAAUCAAUUUCUUUUAAAAAGGGCAUCAAAGAUGUAGACAUAUAUUGCUGAGAAAAGUUACGGCACGUCAUCAUCAUCAUAGGAUAUUUAUAUAGCGCACAUAUCCAGGCAACUAGUGCAUGCUCAAGGCUCUACGGCACGUGUUUGUGAACCACGAUUGGUUUGUCAUAUAUUCAUUUAUUAGUUCCGGGUAUAGGUUUUUUAGACACUAGCACAGAAGAAUGAAAGGAUGUUUCCGUCUGUUUUGCAUGUAGCUCAGACACAGCUUUUGUUUGUAUAAUGUUUCCUUGUUUUAUUUGUCUUUGUCCAGAAGUUCAUCUGUGAUAAGAUGCAUGAUACUGUAGACGGUGAUGGAGCCUGGCGGGACGUGAGUACAGAGGAAACAACUCAAACAAUUGGAAGACGCAAGUUUUUUUCGUUUAUUGAAGAGAAUUACGAAGCACUCUUUUCCUUCAAUAUAAAUGCAUCCAUUGUCAGGAGACAUCCAACGUUUUAUGAAAAAAAAUGCAUUUGCGAAAUUAUGGAGAAGAAGAUGAUGAAGAAGAAGAAAACAUAAGAAUGACUUUGGGUGUCUCGGCCGAACUAUAACUAUACACAUAAGCAAAGUCAGGAACCAACCACUAUAUAGAAACGUUGCAUUAAAUUCAGCUUACUACGAAAAAUAUAAUCAGAGGCAACGUGUCUACAAUAGAUUAUUUACCGAAACCUUGACUUUCUUGGGCAUUUUUGUUGACAUUUGUUGCUAAGAACUGAUACAACGAUGUUUUGAGCGGCGAUCUCUCAGUUUGGCAGCAGAAUUCUUCUACAACAAACAUACAGCAGACACAUUAAAGUUUUACAAAGUGAA